CAGCAGCCGCGGUAAUACCGGCGGCCCGAGUGGCGGUCACUAUUAUUGGGCUUAAAGCGUCCGUAGCCGGGUUGGGAAGUCCUCCGGGAAAUCUGGCCGCUUAACGGUCAGAAUGCCGGAGGAUACUCCCAGCCUAGGGAGCGGGGGAGGCCGAGGGGAUUCCCGGGGUAGGGGUGAAAUCCUAUAAUCCCGGGAGGACCACCUGUGGCGAAGGCGCUCGGCUGGAACGCGUCCGACGGUGAGGGACGAAGGCCAGGGGAGCAAACCGGAUUAGAUACCCGGGUAGUCCUGGCUGUAAACGAUGCGGACUUUGUGUCGGACAAGCUAUGAGCUUGUCCGGUGCCGGAGGGAAACCGUUAAGUCCGCCGCCUGGGGAGUACGGCCGCAAGGCUGAAACUUAAAGGAAUUGGCGGG
rnacentral:rRNA from 1 species